AUUUUCACCGCUAUGCCUCCUUUCACUCUGGGAGUCUUCCAGAGGUCUUGCACUCGGGAGAGCAUGCUCAGGUUUCCCCAGCUCUACAAAAUCACCCAGAAUGCCAAAGACUUCAACACAAGGAUACUGUGUUGACCAGUGGUCAUGCCACUGCCUGUUGAUUUGUUGAAAAUAUUGUUUACACGUAUGUUCUUGUUACUGAUUGUCAGAAAGCUGGUUUUGAGACUGCAGCUUGGACUAAAUUCAGUCAUCUGGCUGUCUGGGGAAGCAUGCUGACCAGUCUGGUGUUCUUUGGCAUCUACUCAGCCAUCUGGUCCACCAUUCUCAUUGCCCCAAAUAUGAGAGGACAGCAACUGUGAUCCUGAGCUGUGCACACUUCUGGUUGGGAUUAUUUCUGGUUUCUACUUCCUGUUUGAAGAUGUGGCAUGGAGAGUGCCAAGCACAUCUGCAAAAAAGACAUUGCUGGAGGAGGUGCAAAGAGCUGGAAACCAAGUCUCCAGUCCUGGGAAAAGCAGUGGUAUGGAAAAGCAAUGGAAAGAG
rnacentral:lncRNA from 1 species